rnacentral:rRNA from 1 species
CUUCCGCCGGCGACCGGCGCACGGGUGAGUAACACGUAUGCAACCUGCCCCUGUCAGGAGGACAACCCGCCGAAAGGCGGGCUAAACCCGCGUACAUGCCACCGGGGCAUCCCGGAGGCAGGAAAGGCUUCGGCCGGACAGGGAUGGGCAUGCGGCGCAUUAGGCAGUAGGCGGGGUAACGGCCCACCUAACCGACGAUGCGUAGGGGUUCUGAGAGGAAGGUCCCCCACACUGGUACUGAGACACGGACCAGACUCCUACGGGAGGCAGCAG